GACUGUUUAUGGCACAGAAUGGAUCACAGAAAAGGUGCUUAUGUAGUACAUUGGGUCCCCGACUGGUGAUGAUUUCAGCCAGGUCUGGAUCAUCUAUGAGCUUAGAGGUGGUGUACAUCAUCAGGGUGUAGGCGGUUCUGUCUAGCAAAGAGGUGUUAUUUUCCAGGCAGAAAGCUGUCAGCGGUCAGGGAUACCAUAUUGACCCUGGUGGACACUGAUCGGCUCAUAGACGGACAUGGCUAACCAGAAGAAGCUGAUAGACGAGCUCUGUGGGAUUGUUACUUCUUUUCUAUGUCCCCAGGGGAUUGUGCCAGAGAUUGAAAAAUGUUCUACAAAGCUGCCUCAUUUUUCUAAAGGUGGAACAAAGCCUGUGUGCACAGUGAGGCUCCAGCAUGGCCACACUUAUCACAUUGAGUUUGUGUACAAGUUUUGGCAGCACAUUUUGGGCCAGCUUCGCCUGCCCCUACAGCCUUGCUUUAUUUUGACAAAUAACGGCUUGGCCACCACUUUGAAAUGUUUUAUGAGCCCGCCAAGGGAUAUAGACUUUCAGUAUGGCAACAGGGUCAAUAUGGCCUGCGAUGUGAAUUUGGAGAAAAACUCUUGUGUUAUCAUAGAGGACGAGGAUUUCCUGAGGUUCAAGAGCUACCAUGUGUUUCCCAAGGACGUACCAAUCUAUAACUCUAUGGUGGUAUGUAGAACCUACAUCACUGAUAUGAGGAACGCAGUACAAUUUUUUGUGGUCAAGCCUGGAAACAGGAGAAAGAUUGUGCAUAUGUUGGAAAGUAUUGAGGAGAUGCCUGAAACCCCACAACAGUUGUAUUUUUGUGGUGGACGUGGGUAUAAGAUGAUAGGGGCUGGGCUCUCCCUCUUCUUUUUUGCAGCCAUAGUGGCGCUGGCCAGUAAACUAGUAUGGUGAUGGGGGCCUUGGACUAUCUGCGCUUGAUGAAUAUUUCAGUGGAUGAGUUUAGAAGCUUUUGUAUCUAUGGCCACCUCAGUGGGCAGCGUGGAUGGGGUGAGCUGUUGUUGAGCAAUCUUUCAUUUAAAAGAGCAGUGUGCCAUAUACUGAAAAUACAGUGUGAGACUAAGAAGAGGUGGACAAACAAGGUAUUGGUGGCGAAUAGUGCGUUGUCCCUACUGACCCUCUUCAGGAUGGUUCUUCAUGAAUGUGUUUUUUCACACAAAUAUUUUAUACCUGACAGGAUCGAGGACAUGUGUUUCCCGCUGACCAAAAUACUCACUGUGCCCUUCCUCAAGGCCCUAGAUCUGUAUCUCUCCCAGUUUUCCAUCUCAUGCAAGUUUCCCAUAAUUAAAAUAUCCACUGUGAAUCCUACCCUUCUGGCGUUUACCAAGAAGAAAUAUCUGGCUAGUGUUGUGUCUGAUCAACCCAUCGAGGUCCCUGCUCCAUCUGCCCGGCCUGAUCCUGUGAGGUUUACUGCUGCGGUGCCCUUAGCUUCUGAUGAGCAGUCUCUGGUGAAAGCUUUACAUUCCAGUACCGGGACAGUCCAGUGUGGAAAUCCAUUUUAUUAUAUGAUGACCAGACUUUGCUUGUAUGGACUAAUGCAUGGUAGGGGGGGAAUUGUGCCAGUUUCCAGCUCUAGUAAGCAGAGUGUAUAUGAUGUGGCUAUAAGAUUUAUAGGUUCUAGGAUAUUGAGCCCGAUAGUGAGGCUGCCAAUUUUAUCCAGGGCUUUGGCAGACCUGGCGCUGACGGGGCACGGUCAUCAGAUAACAGUGUGUAAUGAAUGUGGCCACUGUUUAAAUUUGGGCAGGGAUAAAUUUCUUGCAGUAAAUUUUUCCCCCACAAGUAUGUUUUAUUGCAGAGAUCAAAAGGAGAAACAGUUUAACAUAUGUGCUACAACUGGGAGGAUCUAUUGUUCAUAUUGUGGGGCGACAGAGUUUACAGUGUAUGACAUGGUGGGAAGGUAUGCUACGGGGGAGCCUUUUAUUAGGGCGGUUUCCUCAGCUAACUCCCUUAGUAUUUUAGAUAAUAGCGAACAGGAGUGUGAUAUACUGAUCCCUUGUUUUGGUAAAUCUAGGUCUUGCAGUAUUAAGCUGAGGGCGACAUUUAGGGAGCUACUUUAUUUGACAGCGUCUGUUGAUAAUUUUAUUUGUCAAAAGUGUUCCAAUAAGGGUGAUGAAUAAAGACAGGGUCAAAGCUCCAGCUUUCCACCCAGAGCUCCAUAACAAGCUUUUGGAAAGGCUUAAGGCUGCCUAUGGAAAGGACAGUAUUGGCAAAGACCCAGAAGAAGCCCCAGUUCCCCUGUUGUUGCAUACCUGUGCAGUUAGAUUCUAUGAAGAGUACAAAGAAUUGACACGUGAUAACACAUUGCCUACAUUGGUAAACAAGAAAGGAUUCCCGGGGGAUGCCAAAAUGAUGGACCCUGUCUUGGGUAUCUAUCACUCUGGAAAAAAACAGGGAGCAUCAAGUGUCCCUUCCUCUUCUGGAGCAUUUGACGGAGGGAGCCACGGUGGCCCUCUACCUUCUGUUGAUCUUCCUCAAAGGGAGGGAGGCCUGUGGUACGGACUGGGCCCUGACAAGUCUGGACUGGGUUUUGUGCUCCCCUCUGAUCCAGGGUCUAUGUCUGACGGGAACAGCUUUAGGGUUAUUCCAGACCCCUCAUCUCUAACAGACAAGGAUGACCAGAACUUGGGGGAAUCGACCAAAACAAGGAGUGGAAAUGGAAAGAAAAAGUAGACCCUUGACCAAAGACUGUUAAAUGUAAAGCUGUUUUAUUCUUUUUAGAGUAGACAGCAUAUAUGAUGAAUGGUCGUGUACACUUUUGAUUAUCUUCUCAAUAAAUAAUAAUACAUUA
rnacentral:tmRNA from 1 species